CCCAGGGACAACCUUUGGGUGUUGAAUGUCACCAUCUGUUGAGGACCUGCUCAGUUGGAGCCAUUGCAGCACAUGUUGCAGCUCUCUUGGGAAGAUUCACAGAUUUUACAGAAACUCAGUCGGAGGAAAUGGCGUUUCGAUGGCACAUCCCAUGCUGUAGAAGUCCUUGUAUUCAUGGCGGUGUUCCUGGACAGAGUUAUGGUGGAGCCCACUCCUUUGGAUGUGUACAUCUUGUUUGCUGAUGGAUUCCUAAAG